rnacentral:rRNA from 1 species
GACGAACGCUGGCGGCGUGCUUAACACAUGCAAGUCGAACGGUGAAGCGCCUUCCUUUUUGGUGGGUGUGGAUGAGUGGCGAACGGGUGAGUAACACGUGAGUAACCUGCCCCCUUCUUCUGGAUAACCGCAUGAAAGUGUGGCUAAUACGGGAUAUUCUGGGUCUGUCGCAUGAUGGGUCUGGGAAAGAUAUUGUUUCGGUGGGGGAUGGGCUCGCGGCCUAUCAGCUUGUUGGUGGGGUGAUGGCCUACCAAGGCGGUGACGGGUAGCCGGCCUGAGAGGGUGGACGGUCACACAGGGACUGAGACACGGGCAAGACUCCUACGGGAGGCAGCAGGGGGGAAGAGUGAACAAUGGGCGCAAGCCUGAUGCAGCGACGCCGCGUGAGGGAUGGAGGCCUGCGGGUUGUGAACCUCUUUCGCCAGUGAAGCAGGCCUGCCUCGUUUGUGGGUGGGUUGACGGUAGCUGGAUAAGAAGCGCCGGCUAACUACGUG